rnacentral:rRNA from 1 species
AUUGAACGCUGGCGGCAUGCCUUACACAUGCAAGUCGAACGGUAACAGGCCUUCGGAUGCUGACGAGUGGCGAACGGGUGAGUAAUACAUCGGAACGUGCCUAGUAGUGGGGGAUAACUACUCGAAAGAGUGGCUAAUACCGCAUGAGAUCUACGGAUGAAAGCAGGGGAUCGCAAGACCUUGUGCUACUAGAGCGGCCGAUGGCAGAUUAGGUAGUUGGUGGGAUAAAAGCUUACCAAGCCGACGAUCUGUAGCUGGUCUGAGAGGACGAUCAGCCACACUGGGACUGAGACAAGGCCCAGACUCCUACGGGAGGCAGCAGUGGGGAAUUUUGGACAAUGGGCGAAAGCCUGAUCCAGCAAUGCCGCGUGCAGGAUGAAGGCCUUCGGGUUGUAAACUGCUUUUGUACGGAACGAAAAGCCCCGGGUUAAUACCCUGGGGUCAUGACGGUACCGUAAGAAUAAGCACCGGCUAACUACGUGCCAGCCGCCGCGGUAA